ensembl:lncRNA
UUCUUUCAGGCCUCUCAUUGGUUAAAACCAGGAAGGCAUCCGUCUUUUCAGAUUGUCAAGGCCCGCCGUUGUAAAUGGCUUCUGCGUUUUAUUAUGAAUUCUGCCGCUAUCUGGUUGUAGGCUUGCUUGAUCUCUUAGAGGCAAUACUGGCAUUCCACCUUCAGCCCCAUCUGUAUUUUCUUGCUGAACUACACUGUUAUGUUUAGGUGUGUCUUGUUGUGUGUUCAUAUAUUUGCCACAUUGUUUCUCUUCAGUCAGUUGCUUCAUCAUUUGCUUUAGUUGCGUGAGCUCCUCCCUCAUGGCUAAAAUCAUCGCAGCCAUUUCAUUGUCUUUUGCUUUUUUUCCCAUAAAUUAGAUGCACUCCUUUUUUUUAAGGCAUAGUAUAAUUGGAUUAAGCAGAAUAAUGCUCCAGCAUAUGUGGGAAUGAAUGAAAUCAAGCGAUACAUACUUAUAUUCAGCCACUGCAAACUUUCAUAGAUCCUAAGCAGAAAAUAAAUAUAAUCCGGAAUCGUGACAAAAAAUAAGUUGUAAAGCAUAUACAAGAAAUGUCCAAUCCAGGCUAGAUAACCCAUGGCAAGUAAUAGUUUCUUUGCCGUCUUGAAUCUUGAAAAGCCUUUUGCAACAGAAAAAAUGUGUUCCAGUCUGGCCCUUUAAGAGUCGCCUCCUCCCUUCAGAAGGCGUGGUUUCUUUUGGCUGUGGUGUUGCUAAGCAGAUUAGUUGCACUCAGCACUGCUCUCAAAAUGGCUGCUUUCCACAGUCACACAGGCUUUUGAAAUGUAUGUAGGCCCGAUUUCUCUGAAACUUCUCUGACACCUCCAAAUGCCUUCUUCUUCCCAAAUUCUUGACAAAAUAGGCUGGAAAACCUAGCUGGCUCUGCUAAAAACUGUAAUAUUUAUAGGGAAAAAUGGGGAGGAUAUGAAGAACAGGAGAUAAGGAAGCCCGAAGUAUGAGUGAGGAGGGCAGUCUCUCUAUAUAUGGAGCUAGGGAGUGGUUUUUGCCUGAGGCUAGUUUUCAAGUCUCCACAGCUUCUACUGUGUGCUGCCCUUCUCCACCAUAUCUCAGAGUCUAAGGUCCACUCUUUUUUGUCUCCUGGGAUCCCUCCCAAGUAUAGCUGCUCUCAGGGGCUGAAUCAUGUUGCUGUAGCAGAACUGAAGAGUGGCAAUAAAGAGAAUAGACAUUUAAUAUGCUGGGAGCUCUAUUUAUUAUAGAGAAAAUAUGAAGGAAAGCAUUAAUCCAUUGGGGAAAAGAUUCAGCAUAAUCUAAGAAGUUUGGAGCCACUAGUUAGCUGUUAAGAAUAGCUGCCAAGAAGGAUGCCAAUCGAGAGAUUCACCAAUUUGUAGAUCUGUAGAUCCAUCACGCAAACAGAUUGAGUCAGUUGUGCAGCUGAAAUGAAAAGGAAAGAGAAAAUACCUCCUGAAUUCAGUUUUACUAGAAGUGACCUCCAAGUGUUCCAGAAAUGGAUCCUCAUUUAAUGACUAUGUGGAAUUAGAUUAUGUUUGAUACAGUCACAUCUAUUUUAGCUGAUCCCCAAACCAAGCCCUUCUUGACUCAGAAUUUAGGGCAGAAUAAGGUAUUAGAAUAGUCCAUAGAAUUAUAGCUGAGAAGAUAUUAUGGAUCUGCCAAGGAAUCUGAAAGGUUCCAGGAAAUGGAAAAAGGUAUUAGAGGAAAAACUCCUAUGUGCUGGGUAGGUUCUCUGGGCAGGAGAGCAGUCACAGAUUGCACAGCAUAAACUAGAGGGAUGGGAUUCAGUCUGCUCAUUUGAGGGGAUAUUCACAUCGGCGGGGCCAUGGAAGCAUACGGAUAUUAGAGGAAGCCUGUCGAGAGGCAGAAAAUCAUGUCUUGCUGUGCCAGGACAACUAGCAUCUCUCUGUGGCUUUCUUGUGCUCAUCUGAAGAUGAGUCUGGCUCUCUCUGGAGUGAGUCUGAUGAGGCACUUGAAAAAUGCAGCUGGGCCCCAGUGGGGGUCCCCUGGCAUUCUCUUGGAUAGGAGGUGACUGGUUUCUGUCCCUAGGCUAGUGAAAAGACCCUUGGUGGAGGAAAUGGGGAAACGGACCCAUGUUCUGCCCUCUCGGGAGCUGAGCUGGUGCUAGCAUCCAGAUCAUAGGACUUCCUCCCGGGGCUCUCUUAAGUAACACAGGCUCUGAGGCAAAGAUAAAACAACAGUCUUUACAAAAUUUCAGAUUAGAAUAUGCUGCACAAUAUACCCUGC